rnacentral:hammerhead_ribozyme from 1 species
AUCCAGCUGAUGAGUCCCAAAUAAGACGAAACACGCGUCAAACUGGAU